CGAACGGCUCCGUAUAACUGUUGUUACCUAUCGUGGGAAAGUUUUUUGGAUAUUGCACGGAAAAACUGUGUGUAACACAGCAAAUUAUGUGGUUCAGCCGCGGUGCUUUCCUCGGCUUUAAGCGGAGGCCGGGCCCAUGAAGGACCGGCUUCCGGGUCACCACUGCUUCCGGCUCGCUCUUAUAAGGCCGCCCAAUGUACGCGUAUACGCGCGCGUACCGGGUUGCGCUCAACCACACGAUGGGCUUCAGACCUAUCAGCUAGAUGGUAGGGUAUUGGCCUACCAUGGCUUUGACGGGUACAGAGGAUUAGGGUUUGAUCCUGGAGAGGUAGCCUGAGAAAUCGCUCCCACUUCUAAGGAAGGCAGCAGGCGCGUAACGUUCCCAAUGCUCUCUCACGAGUGAGGACGUAAAGGGAUAUAACAAUGCCCCUAGCGGGCAAUUGACAAUGGGGCGGCCAUAAAAAAGCCGUCGAGAAACGACUGGAGGACAAGUCUGGUGCCAGCAAU
rnacentral:rRNA from 1 species